GACGAACGCUGGCGGUGUGCUUAACACAUGCAAGUCGAACGGAAAGGCCCUGCUUUUGUGGGGUGCUCGAGUGGCGAACGGGUGAGUAACACGUGAGUAACCUGCCCUUGACUUUGGGAUAACUUCAGGAAACUGGGGCUAAUACCGGAUAGGAGCUCCUGCUGCAUGGUGGGGGUUGGAAAGUUUCGGCGGUUGGGGAUGGACUCGCGGCUUAUCAGCUUGUUUGUGGGGUAGUGGCUUACCAAGGCUUUGACGGGUAGCCGGCCUGAGAGGGUGACCGGCCACAUUGGGACUGAGAUACGGCCCAGACUCCUACGGGAGGCAGCAGUGGGGAAUAUUGCACAAUGGGCGGAAGCCUGAUGCAGCAACGCCGCGUGCGGGAUGACGGCCUUCGGGUUGUAAACCGCUUUCGACUGUGACGAAGCGUGAGUGACGGUAAUGGGUAAAGAAGCACCGGCUAACUACGUG
rnacentral:rRNA from 1 species